rnacentral:RNase_MRP_RNA from 1 species
AGGCGUCCUGAAUACCUGCUCUCUAGGCUACGUACGGAGGGCGAUAGUUCCUCUUGGGCAGCGCGCCCGCCUAGGGGAAAGUCCCCGGACCCCGGGCAGAGAGUGCCGCGUGUUUCCCGGCACGCAACAACUCGUCUCGCGAGCUCACGUUACUUCCGCCAAGAAGCCCCCAGGGCAGAGCGGGUGAGUGCGGGAGGGGCCUCUCGUCACCUUAAUAGUUACGCAGGUAGUGCGCCUGCGCCUCUGUGCACGGCGCACCAACACAACGGGGCUCAUUCUUGGGACGCC